rnacentral:rRNA from 1 species
GCAUCCAUGAAAACGCAGCGAAAUGCGAUAAGUAAUGUGAAUUGCAAAUUCAGUGAAUCAUCGAAUCUUUGAACGCACAUUGCGCCCCCUGGUAUUCCGGGGGGCAUGCCUGUUCGAGCGUCAUUUCACCACUCAAGCCUCGCUUGGUAUUGGGCAACGCGGUCCGCCGCGUGCCUCAAAUCGACCGGGUGGGUCUUCUGUCCCCUAAGCGUUGUGGAAACUAUUCGCUAAAGGUGGCUCGGGAGGCUACGCCGUAAAACAACCCCAUUUCUAAGGUUGACCUCGGAUCAGGUAGGGAUACCCGCUGAACUUAAGCAUAUCAAUAAGCGGAGGA